rnacentral:lncRNA from 1 species
UCUGUGUAACCCACAUGGCCAGGCACAUGCCGUGUGUCGUGACUAUCACUUUCGAUUUUACACGAAUUUACGGGUUUUUUGUUAGAGACACACACUUGAUUGCUUUUGGAAGGUUAAAACCACAUCAAUAAUAACAUUCUGCAUAAGACAUUAACCUCAACCAAUUUGCAAGAAUACACAAAACUAAACUUAGGACAUUCGAUUCUUGCUCAUUUAGAGCAAUCGACCAAAAAAUGACAAUUACAAACUAGCCCCUAAACUAGGGCUUUCGGUCAUUACCCUUAGAGAAGAGUGUAACACGCCAAACCUGACCUAAUAUUUGGAUCUGAGGAUGAUAUGUCACUACUUCAAGUCAAACUAACUUCAAAACUUUUUUGCAAACGCCUUAUA